rnacentral:rRNA from 1 species
AUUGAACGCUGGCGGCAGGCCUAACACAUGCAAGUCGAGCGAGCGGCGGACGGGUGUGUAAUGUAUGGGGAUCUGCCUGAUGGAGGGGGUUAACUACUGGAAACGGUAGCUAAUACCGCAUACCAUCAGAUGAACCCAUAUGGGAUUAGCUUGUAGGUGAGGUAACGGCUCACCUAGGCCACGAUCCCUAGCUGGUCUGAGAGGUUGAUCAGCCACACUGGAACUGAGACACGGCCCAGACUCCUACGGGAGGCAGCAGUGGGGAAUAUUGCACAAUGGGCGCAAGCCUGAUGCAGCCAUGCCGCGUGUAUGAAGAAGGCCUUCGGGUUGUAAAGUACUUUCAGUCGGGAGGCGUUACCGACAGAAGAAGCACCGGCUAACUCCGUGCCAGCAGCCGCGGUAAUUC